rnacentral:lncRNA from 1 species
GAUUUUUCUUGGGGAUUUGGGGUGUGUGUGGAGUUGAGCUUUUAAAAACACACAAACACGCACAGAGCAACAGGUCUGGUUUUGCUUCGAAAGAUUGAAUAAAGGUGAUUUGUGGUGCAUGACCUUAACCUUUCCUUUUGGGUUUGGUGCCGUUUGGGGGGGGGGGGAUUUCGCCAAGAGAGGAGGGGUGUGUUAAGAACUAGGGAAUGCAAUUCGUCUCACCACUUUGGCAAGGAGUAACUCUCCCGAAAGACAGGGCACGUAGUGGACUAAACACUGGGUGCGAUCCAAAGAGGAUUUAUCGUAACAGCACUUCAGUUCCUUCACCUGAUGGGCUCUGGGAUGCGUACUUCUGACAUAGUUAGUUCAGGGGACAAUUGCUCUUCUCUCUGUUGUGCAUAGACGCUUGAGAUCCAUUUGGAUACAGGUACACACAAACAUGUUUACAGAAUCACCCUACUCAGGCAAACUUCUGUCCUAAGAAACCACCCCCAAAUAUUCCCCAAAUGUUCUGGCUACAGUGCUCCACCUGUAUUAGGAGACCACCACUGUUAACCAACCAAUUUUUGUCAUUCCCUUCAGUGUCACUUAGGACAUGUUUCAUAUUAUAAGGACAACAAGAGGAUUAGCUGGCCCAUAUCUGCUGGUGUUAUUUAUGGGAAUGAAAAUGCCAUUUGUAGUUGUGGUGUUGAGUCAGAGAACAAUGAGAGUGUAAGAAAACUCAUUUCUGGUUUGUUGAAAGGCUUUUGUAAUUUCCUGUUUUUUCAUGACAAUGGGGAUAUAAGUAGGGGAACAAGUUGGGGAAUUUAAGGGAAGAUAUAACUGAAGAAGAGUGUGCAAAUUAUCUGAACCCAAGACCAUAUACUAAUUCAUCUGAACCCUAGCUGUUCAGACCGGCAGCAAUGUGAAGUAUGUUGUACAGGAUAAUGCAAGUCAUUCCCCUAUGAUAUGUCAUGAUCAAUGACAAUCUAAUGAAUUCAUCUUAAAACAAAGUCAGAACAGGAAAAACAAUAGCUAUUUGAAAGACUCCUUUCCUCAAAUAAAUGGAGUCAAUAAAUAUGCUCUUUGUCA